rnacentral:ncRNA from 2 species
CUUAUCGAGGAAGCGCCAGACCUCUUGCUAAGAGGUGACGAGGGGAAGGCUUAUCGAAAUCUUCGGCGGGUGGCCUUCCGGCCCGCAGUGGUCGUUAGGAAGGGGACAAAUCUUGCGGGUGACCGCUUGGACAAAUCCCCGACCGUGCUGCUCC